UACGUAGGGGGCAAGCGUUGUCCGGAUUCAUUGGGCGUAAAGAGCGUGUAGGCGGCCAGGUAGGUCGGUUGUGAAAACUGGAGGCUCAACCUUCAGAGGUCGACCGAAACCAUCUGGCUAGAGUCCGGGAGAGGGAUGCGGAAUUCCAGGUGUAGCGGUGAAAUGCGUAGAUAUCUGGAGGAACACCGGUGGCGAAGGCGGCAUCCUGGACCGGCAUUGACGCUGAGGCGCGAAAGCCAGGGGAGCAAACGGG
rnacentral:rRNA from 1 species